UGUUGAGUUUCCCAGCUUCUGGGAAAUUCGGGAUAAGUUGGGCCACUGUGAUCCUACAACCCAGGUUGGGUCAGAGCCAUUAGCAAGCAGAGAGAUGUCUGAAUGGGCCAUGGUAGCCUUGUGCCUUGGCCAGCUGGCACCCAGAAGGGUUUGGAAUGCAAAGCUGGCACUGAGCAGGCCACAGAGAUGGGACUGCUGUCCCUAAUCCUGCACCCAGCCUCCCCUUUCCAUUCCCUUGGCAGAGCAGCACAAAGCCUUUGGUCCCCACACUGCCACCCAGCCCCUUUCACCGUGGCCAAACACACUUUAAAUGAAUCUGAAAGAAAGGUUUGAGAUGAGGCCGGGUGGACGCGGGGUGCCCCAAUGGGCACAUCCCAGUUGGGCAGGGAGUGGGGCCACAGCGCUGUGCUCUGACCCUACCGAGGUAACUACAUAAUGAGCCUCUUGGAAUCCCUCCGUCCCUGCCAAAGGGGUGGGAUCGGGGGACGCUUUUGUUUGCCGUAAUGAACCUGUAAUUAUGCUGCUUUUCUUGGUUUUAACCGCAUUUUUUUGCGUGUGCGUCGUUCUCUUUGUAUUGACAGAUUUAUGGCUGGGAUACCCCGGCCGGGCGGCACACGGGGCCAACACACUGCCUGCUCAGAGAGCUGCGGGGCAGCGAUGGGGGCUUCUCAUUGCCCCGGCUCCCAAAUGGUUAAAGAAAGACAUGGGAAUUAAUGCACACGCAGAGGUGCCACCUCUCCAAAAGCUACUGCUUUGGGCACAGUUAAAUAUAUAUUUAUGUGUGUGUGUAUAUAUAUAUGUAUGUAUGCGUGUAUAUAUAUAUAUAUAUGUAUGUAUAUAUAUUUAGGUCCAGGUGAAUUAAAGAAGAGGAGAGAAAGGAAGGAAAGGAAAAAGUAGGGAACGAUUAAACGGCAUAAAUAAAUAAAUAACACCCACCAGAUUUCAGCUCCCAGGCGCUCAAUAAAAUUACACUUUGAAAUGCAAGGAUUAAGCAGGCAUUGCUGGGGUUUGAGCUGGCUGUGGGUGGAAGGACCGAGCCUGGAAGGAAACCCCGUGUGAAAUCCCCAGCCUGCUUUGCAGAUGUUGGGCUGCUUCUGGGUGAGAUUUUAGCUUUUGCAGAUGUCUGAAACGCUCCCGGUGGGCUUGGUGCCUCGCUGCAGUAAACACAGGCAGGGGGAGCUGGAAGAAGUGGGGAGAGCCGUGAUGUCUUCCAGGAGCUGUCUCAGGAGAGGGACUGGACCAGCCUGAAGGCCACCAGAGCCAAAGCCCAGCAGCACAGCUUGGGACACAAGCAUCCCACACGCGGGACUAUUUUGAUGGAGCCGGAGAAGUGAUGACACAAAUAGCUGAUGACACAAAUAGUUCUGCUGGCGGAGCAGCAGAGGUGGCAACCUCUGGAUGGGAGCCAUGAGCAGCAGCUGCAGACAGGCACCUCUUCAUGGAGCUGGAACAGGAUGCACAGCCCAGGGCUCCUGUCACCAUCCCACCAGUAUCACCAGGAAAGCUGUGACCCGGAUGAGCCGUUCAGUCUCCUUCCUGCACAGUUGGCGGGCUGAGCCAAAUUUUGACCACUGAGCCAUUGCUGUUGCUGGUUUGAAGAUCUUGGCUGGUCCUCGCAGAGCCAUGUGAUUUAAUAGUGGUAAAAGCAACUGUUGCAUGAAAAAUUGAAGCACCCUAUGCCACGCCGAAUGCUGAACGUUGCUGCCAUUUGGGAUAAUACUGGGAAAAGAGUGAACUGAUCGGUCACGUCCUGAAAGAUGGUCUACUUCUCAGUGAGACUUUGUGCCAGAUGGCAUCUGGGGCUGAGCGUCUUGGCAUCUUUCAGCCAAAGGAAUUGCUCCGCGCUUCACCUUCAAGCCUGUGCUUGUGCCACAGCUUUGGCAAUGUUUUCUGCUCAAAGCUCCGUUAUCUAGAAUGGCAGUGAAACCAUGGAGCCCAAAAGGGAGAAGCAUCCCAUCAUCUGCGUGAGUGACUUGGGAAUGGAAGGUGAAGGAGGUGGAGGGCAGAGUUCCCACCCGGAAAGGAUUUUCAAGAUUUGAAAAAAUCAAAACAGCCCCCAGUGUUCCCCUUAUCUAUCAAUUAAAAUCAAACUAGUUUCUUUUUUAUCAAGAUUGAGAGAUGCCACACAGGCUGACUGCAGUAUUAGUGAGGUUAUCUGUGGUGUAGGAAAUCCAGAUUCAGAUGCUUCACGUGCCAUCACCAGUGCACAUCUGGGCUGUUGGCUGCUGUGUUUGUGUUCCUAGAUCUCAUGUUGUCACUGUCAGCUCUAAGCUUGCGUUGAACCUCAAGCAGGUCAGACCUUGUUGGUCUGUGAUAAGGCACAGUGUUUGUGCACGACAGCACAGCUUUUAUAUUGCGCAGGCUCCUAAAGAUACUUGUUCUAACGAUAGGAUAAAACAACGGCUGCCUCCCUGAAUCACUUCAUGUGCUGAAGACAGAGGGAUGCGAGUGAGGGCCGUUCCCAGGGUGGGUGCCGGGAGCACAGUGUGAGAGCGUGCAAUGCUGUGCAGAAGCACAGCUUAAGGUCAGACUCAGCUCUAAAGCUUCCCCAGAAUCCCAAAUCCUCUUUUUAUAUGAGUUUUAGCAAACACAAACAAUUAAAGAAUUUCAUCUUCUCCUACUAUGGUGGAAAAGCCUGAAUGCUUCUCUAAACUUUAUUAAAAAGCUCCAGCGUGUUCCCUGGGUGAGGGUCCUGCUUGGCUUCUGAGAGCCCAUAUCUUUGUGUUUGGUGCAAAUGAAUCGGUCACUGAUGCCAGUUGGCAGUGGAGAAGAGAAAUAACACAGCCCGUUGCAAAGAGGAAAAAAAGCAUGUGUAAGCCUCGUGUCUGCCAUCUGACAAGGACCCCAGUCAAUGGCAGCUUUACACAGACCUCCACGAGGGCUAUUGCACAUCCCUGCUAUCUGCCUCCACUUAUGCUCCUCUCCUAGGGAUUACACCGGUGCCAGGUUUCGAGCCUAAGCACCGUACAUUCCAGUGCCAGCCUGGAGCGCAGGGAGAAGCAUUUUGUAGCUUUAGUUUUGGAAUGUACCCCACUGGUAGCAACAGGCUGGUGGGACAGGCAGGAACCUUCCCCUGGGCCAGGUCUCUCUGGCGGGCAGCAGCUCUCUCAUCACCAGGGGUUUGUCAAGGCGUGCGGUAUGCUAACAUCCUGCCAGCUCACCUUUCGUAAGCUGAGUCGAAAGCAUUAUUCCCACCAGUGCAAACACGGCGUCUGCCACAUGUCUGCUGCUUUCUCCCCACUGCACCGAGGCAAAGCAGCCCUUCCUUGUCAGUCAUUGACCAAAAGCUGUUGAUUCUGGAACGACUGACUGCACUGGUUGUAAGGGAUGCCAAAACCCCCUGAAAGCUGGGAGGCAAAGGUGUUUUCUUUUUAAAUGAAUUAAGCUGUAGAAGGAAUUUCCCUGAGAGCUUGUUUGAUAUCUGGAAUAGAAAUGGCUUUCCGUCUCCAUCUCCACCUACUCAGCACUCAGAGCCGCAUCCAGAGAGCCUGCAGACACAUCUGCCCUCUCCUCCGUGCCGGAGCUCCUCUGCAUUUUGUUGACAGCUGACAAACAUUCCAGGUGGCUGUGCCUCCAGUGUGCUCGCUGGGUCGCUGUAAAGGACUUAGCUUAGCCUAGGGAGAACACAGCCUAGGGAGAAUACAGUCGUCAUAGAGUUCACUUUCUUUUGUAUCAGUAUCGGGCACUUGUGGCAGGGCUGAGCUGGAGUUUGGUCCAGUCCAUUUAAACCACAGCCUGUUCCCCAGCCAUCCUCUAGGGCUCAGGCCUGGCACAUCCCACGUUACAGACGUGCUCUGCGCUUUCCCCAGAGGGAAGCAGGCAGCUCCCCGCUUCCUUCUGAGCCUGCCUGCAGAAGCACGGUGCAGGCACACAGGAGAGCAACCCCACAGUGUGAGCAACUUUUAGAAACAAGCCUUGUCAAGAGGUAGAGCGGCUCUACCUGUACCUAAAGGCACAAAUAACACCUGGUGGCACCAACAAAGCGCUGGCACUGUGAGCCUAACGCCCCUUGGCUCCCGUAGGAAACAGGACCUGUACCAGCAUCUGUAAAUAAAUAUCCCACUGCGCCUUUAGACACUUAAAUACCUUUCCAAACCUGGCUGCUUGCCUGUUUCCCAUGCUCUGCUGUUGCUGCUUUACUUUUGCACGGCAGCGGGAGUAAGGAGCUCAGCUGCACGGAGGCUGUGUUGUGCCAAGCACAGCGCAGGCACCAAACAAAAGCCCUCUGACCGCUUCCCAGCAUCUAGCCGCUGUUAUUUUAAAAACAACUCUCCUUGGCUAUUUUCUUUUGCCUUUUAUUCAUUGUUUUCUUGCUUCCUUUAUAUGUCUGCUGCCUCCCAGCUAGAAUACCUUUGCUGAGCUCCUGGGUGGAAAAAAAAAAAGGAGGAUUUACCUGAGUCCAGCCCGUCUGCAUGUGGGUCGGAACGUGUGUGUAUCCCAUUAACUCUGUCCUCGCUGCUCUCAAGAUGUCCCGCACAAAUGAUUUUAUUUUUUUUUUCGUAAGAAAAUAUAUUUUACUAGGCAGUUUUAUGAGAGCUGACAAAAUGCCUCAUAAAUAACCCAGCAGGAAAUAUGGGGUAAAUAAAAUUUUUACAACUUUAUCA
ensembl:lncRNA